rfam:Pseudomonadales bacterium CV58 contig_191, whole genome shotgun sequence.
GGGCAGGAUGUGUGAAGUUAGCUAAUCGGCAAGCCGCUUAUCUAACUUCACCUCCCUUAUUCGCACUUUGUGCUCAACGGGCAUCCUGCUCUGCGAGGCU